AGAGUUUGAUCCUGGCUCAGGACGAACGCUGGCGGCGUGCUUAACACAUGCAAGUCGAGCGAGGCGCUCCCUUCGGGGGGUGUCCUAGCGGCGAACGGGUGAGUAACACGUGGGCAACCUGCCCCUAGCUCUGGGAUAACUCCGGGAAACCGGGGCUAAUACCGGAUACGACCUCGAACGGCAUCUAUCGAGGUGGAAAGUUUUUCGGCUAGGGAUGGGCCCGCGGCCUAUCAGCUUGUUGGUGAGGUAACGGCCCACCAAGGCGACGACGGGUAGCCGGCCUGAGAGGGCGACCGGCCACACUGGGACUGAGACACGGCCCAGACUCCUACGGGAGGCAGCAGUGGGGAAUAUUGCGCAAUGGGCGAAAGCCUGACGCAGCGACGCCGCGUGAGGGAUGAAGGCCUUCGGGUUGUAAACCUCUUUCAGCAGGGACGAAGCGCAAGUGACGGUACCUGCAGAAGAAGCACCGGCCAACUACGUGCCAGCAGCCGCGGUAAUACGUAGGGUGCAAGCGUUGUCCGGAAUUAUUGGGCGUAAAGAGCUCGUAGGCGGUCCGUCACGUCGGCUGUGAAAACCCGGGGCUCAACUCCGGGCCUGCAGUCGAUACGGGCGGACUAGAGUAUUGCAGGGGAGAUGGAAUUCCUGGUGUAGCGGUGAAAUGCGCAGAUAUCAGGAGGAACACCGGUGGCGAAGGCGGGCUUGGGCAAUAACUGACGCUGAGGAGCGAAAGCGUGGGGAGCGAACAGGAUUAGAUACCCUAGUAGUCC
rnacentral:rRNA from 1 species